CAGUACAGAGGAUCAGAUAAGAAAUUCAAUCACGUACUGCUUAUCUAAACGUCACCUAAGACCCAGACCUGUGUCCAGCCAUACACAACGAGGUCUGCAUCCAGUUCUGCUUUACUGCGGGAUUGAAAGGAAUUGAUCCGAUUGGCGGCAUUCACCGUGACCGCUGUGGAAAGGCUCGACCUGGUCACAGAGCGGGUCUGCCUGCAGCGGUCCCGCGGUCAGGACCCAGACCUCCUUAAAGAGCGGGCUGUACCUGUAUGUCCACAAGAUGGACUCAUGUUCAUGAGAAAUGUUUUGAUGAUUUGGUUCGUUCGAUUUAAAGCCCUGAAAUCAUGUAGCCAAACAAGCCCGAAGCCGUAGACCCCACAGCAGGAACAUGGUCUUUCUGAAGUGAAGCGCAGGAGCCUCAGGUAUAAAUGCUAGCAAGAACUGUGUAUCCAUAACCAUAAUAAAAAAAAAAAA